GUUUACUGUUAUAUCACGUUCAUAACUGGGCCACAGACAGGUUCAACUUUUGGCCUCUUUCCCCUAAUCUCAGGUCCAAUUUCAGUUUGUUUAGGAUCACCGCCAUUUAAAGGGAUUGAAUGGAUCCGGAGGAAGAGUGGAUGGCCUCAGCUGCCUUGCGCACAACCACUGCUCCCACAGAUGCAGCCAUGAAGCCUCUGAGCUUUCAGACCAAAAACGAAUUCUUCUAAAAUCCCAACCAGACAAACUUAACAUGUCAAGAUUUCUCCAACCCUUGAGGAAAACCAAACGUGGGACGGCAACAGUCCCACUUUUGGGGACAUUCUGUUCCGGAUUCUGAUUCAGACUCUGUUCCGGAUUCUGAUCCUCUCUCCCACCAGAACCAGGUGAAAGUUCAAGGCAGACUAAAGAAAGAGCCCUGCCCCAAGCAGCGUCCCUCAGCAUCUCUGGGAGAUGUCAAUGUUAGAUCGGUCUCCCUACGAAGGGGACACUACCCAGAUGGAACGGGGCAGUGGAAGUCUUGCUAUCCCAGCCUGAAAGUGCUGAGGGCAGAUGCCUGUAUCCCUCAGACCCUUCAGAGAUGCCUCAGCUACAGAGAUACCACCUCAAUCAAGUCUGCACCCCUUCCUGGGAGCCCCACAUUCAGUGACCGAUUAAGGUGUUCCUCCCAGGAGAACUCUUCAAUAAUCACGGUGUAUUGAACAGUCCUUCAGAGUCAGCGUCCCGGAGAGCCCAGCCUGCAAUGCCUUAGCAGGGGAAGGGGAGAAGGGAGAACUGAAGUAAGCAGGAUCACUCAUUCUCAUGAACUGCAUGUUUUCUCCUUCCAGAACUCCCAGAAACCCCACUGCUGCCACUAUUUUUAGUGUUAGACCACAUCUUCUCUAACCAUUCAUCAGUCAAAAGACAUUUGGGCUCUUUCCAUAGCUUGACUAUUGUUGAUAAUGCUGUUACAAACAUC